GUCUACAGCCAUGCCUCCCUGAACAAGCCCGAUCUCGUCUGAUCUCGGAAGCUAAGCAGGGUUGGGCCUGGUUAGUACUUGGAUAGGAGAACCUAGGAAGACCAGGUCUAUGGUCG
rnacentral:rRNA from 1 species